rnacentral:sRNA from 1 species
GAAUCUGAUGCCUGAUUUUUAAAAUUAACUCUGUACAUUUAGACCUGAGGUGUAUUCAUUGAGAAAAUCAACAAGCGAUGGAAGCUUGAUCAGACUAUAAGAUUGGCUGAAAAUUAUUUGAUUUGGAUGUGAAUAAACAUACCUUGACCAGUUGGAAUAAGGACUGUUCUGGACUACAUCUUAUCUCCAUAGACUGCCUUUUUAUGAUCCUAUUUUUUCGCUUGUUCAUGAGGUUUUAAACAUGUAUAUUCCAGAGAUUUGGGGUUAAUUUAAUCAAACCACAUCACUGACACCAGAUCUGACUUUCACAUAAAAUGCAUGGCAAUGAUGGAUUUAUGUAAUCGCUGUGGGUACCUCAGAACUAUGCUCCUCAUUCGCUUCCUUGGUUGAGUGCUGGAUUCGUAUGUCAGAUUACCGAAACUUAUGUAGAGGAAAUCUCUGUACGUUUCACUUGAUCAUUUUGUACAAGACAGUCAAGUGUUUACAAAAGGUUUUAAUACAGCACAGAUCGGUAAUUAAGCUAAAUCCCAAUAGAGCAUGGCUCAUUUCAUAUUCACCAAUUGAUUAGAGACUAACUCUUAAUACACUAAAACUUAAAUCACAUGCUUUCUCCACCCCAUUUGAUCUAUGCUUUUCAAACGUCUGCUUUUGCCAUGUUGUUGUGACGUCUUUUUUUGUACUUCAAUACAGAAGAGUCAACAAAGGGAAGUAACUUUAAGUUGGAUUUUGUGGAAAAGCGGUAACUUCAAAUAGUUGUAUGUUAAAGCCAGUGAAUAUACCCAAGCCAAUUUUGAUUGUAUUUAUUAGACCAAUGUCUUAUCUUAUUAAAAAACUGUUUAUUCCCGCUUUCAAUUGCCUGCUAAAAAUCAAAUUGAUAUUAUCUAAUGUGCCUGUUUUUCACUAUUUUAUAAGCUAAAUCUAUGAAACAC